UCUCUCAGUUGCAACUCCUUCAAACGACAAUAACCUACCAGUUACCAAUCUGUUUUUCCUUUCUUUUUUCUUUUCGGAAAAUAGAUUCUGCAAAUUCUUUAUUAUCAAUCAUGCUGUGCGGGCAUUUUUUUUUAAUUAUUACAUCAGACUGUACCCAAUCAGAGCUGUCUGUUUCUCCAACAACCCAUACACAUGACUUUGCGGUUGGCUUUUUCUUCUUAAAAAUAAAAGAAAGUCGUCCUCUUUAUCUCUAUCUCAAUUAAUGAACUACAGAGGGAUUAUUAAUUAACCAUGGAGGAAGAAAAAAGAGAAGAGCGGCGGCAACUGCUACAGCCUGUUGUUUUUGGUAAUGGCAUAAGCAUUGAUGAUGAUGAUUCUUUAGUCACUCCUUCUGUCGUUUUCAAUACCAUGGUUGCUAUCUGCGGUUCCUUUGGUACUGGCUGUGCUACAGGCUUUUCCUCACCUGCUCAAUCUGGAAUCAUGGAGGACUUGGGCAUGUCAGUAGCAGCUUACUCCGUUUUUGGUUCUGUAAUGACAAUUGGAGGAGUGAUUGGUGCAUUAGUAAAUGGAACAAUGGCAGAUCUCAUUGGUCGUAGAUACACAAUGUGGGUGUCAGAAUUUUUCUUCAUCACUGGGUGGCUUGCAAUAGCUUUCACACAGGUUGCUUGGUUGCUAGAUUUUGGAAGACUUCUGAUGGGGAUAGGAAUGGGGAUUACUCUUUAUGUGGUACCAAUAUACAUUGCAGAAAUAACACCUAAACAUAUUCGUGGGAGAUUUACAGCUGCUAAUCAGCUCUUGACAAGUUGUGGACUUUCACUGAUUUAUUUUGUUGGAACUAUCAUUUCUUGGCACACCUUAGCUCUAAUUGGGGCUGUUCCAUUUGCAUUGCAAGCUGUAGGAAUUUUAUUCAUUCCAGAGUCUCCUAGAUGGCUGGCAAAAGUUGGUCGAGAAAGAGAGUUGGAAGGAACUCUGCAGUAUCUGAGGGGAAAGAAUGCUGAUGUUUCUGAAGAAGCAGCUAACAUUAGAAACUACACUGGGACCUUUCAAGGGCAUUCACAAACUAGAUUUCUAGACUUGUUCCAGUUCAGAUAUGCUCAUACUCUUAUUGUCGGCAUAGGGAUACUGCUUUUCCAACAAUUUGGAGGGAUAAAUGCAAUUGCAUACUAUGCCAGCUCCAUUUUUGGAAAAGCUGGUUUUUCCCCUAAUCUCGGGCAAAUAUCGAUGGCUAUUAUCCAGGUUCCAGCUACAGCUAUAUCAGUAAUCUUAAUAGAUAAAUCUGGAAGGCGGCCACUUCUCAUGGUUUCUACAUCUGGCAUGUGCUUAAGUUGUUUUCUUAUAGGAAUGGCAUUCUGGUUGCAAGUGUGUCAUGAGAUUAGAUGUGAUUUUGUAAUAUUUCUUCUUCAGAAUUUCGUUGUCAUUCUUAUAAAUUGUCAAUCUCUUAAAGCCUAUUUUGAACAGGACCUCCACAAGGUGAAGGAGAUCACUCCCAUUCUGGUCUACAUUGGUAUCUUGGGGGUACAGUAUUUUUGUAUCAGUAGGCAUGGCGGGAUUACCAUGGGUUAUAAUAUCCGAGAUAUUUCCUAUAAAUAUUAAAGGCAGAGCUGGGAGUCUGGCAACUCUAAUCAAAUGGUUAUGUUCUUGGAUCGUUACGUAUAUUUUCAACCUUUUGAUGGAAUGGAGCUCAGCAGGAACAUUUUUUAUACUCUUUGGAUUUUGCGGAUCAGCUGUUCUGUUCAUUGCAAAGGUGGUCCCAGAGACUAAGGGACGAAUGUUAGAGGAACUACAAGCAUCAAUUACCCACUUCCCGCAACAGGAUAAAUCAGAAGUGAUUUAGA